UACAGAGGGGGCAAGCGUUGUUCGGAAUUACUGGGCGUAAAGGGCGCGUAGGCGGCCUUCUAAGUCGAACGUGAAAUCCCCGGGCUCAACCCGGGAACUGCGUCCGAUACUGGAAGGCUUGAAUCCGGGAGAGGGAUGCGGAAUUCCAGGUGUAGCGGUGAAAUGCGUAGAUAUCAGGAGGAACACCCAUGGCGAAGGCAGCAAACUGGUCAUCAACUGACGCUGAGGCGCGAAAGCGUGGGUAGCAAACAGG
rnacentral:rRNA from 1 species